rnacentral:sRNA from 2 species
CUCAAGCGCAUCGGGGAGUAGCCACCGCUUCAUCUGCGGGAUCGCGUCAACAAGCUCGCGCAAGUGCGCGUGGCGCAAUCAGCCGAAUUAGUCGGCCCGGCAAGACCGUGGUGAAAACUCGUUCCAUACGGAC